rnacentral:rRNA from 1 species
AGUGAACGCUGGCGGUAGGCCUAACACAUGCAAGUCGAACGGCAGCACAGUAAGAGCUUGCUCUUACGGGUGGCGAGUGGCGGACGGGUGAGGAAUACAUCGGAAUCUACUUUUUCGUGGGGGAUAACGUAGGGAAACUUACGCUAAUACCGCAUACGACCUACGGGUGAAAGCAGGGGAUCUUCGGACCUUGCGCGAUUGAAUGAGCCGAUGUCGGAUUAGCUAGUUGGCGGGGUAAAGGCCCACCAAGGCGACGAUCCGUAGCUGGUCUGAGAGGAUGGUCAGCCACACUGGAACGGAGACACGGUCCAGACUCCUACGGGAGGCAGCAGUGGGGAAUAUUGGACAAUGGGCGCAAGCCUGAUCCAGCUAUACCGCGUGGGUGAAGAAGGCCUUCGGGUUGUAAAGCCCUUUUGUUGGGAAAGAAAAGCAGCAGGUUAAUACCCCGCUGUUCUGACGGUACCCAAAGAAUAAGCACCGGCUAACUUCGUG